rnacentral:rRNA from 1 species
UACGUAGGGGGCAAGCGUUGUCCGGAAUUAUUGGGCGUAAAGCGCGCGCAGGCGGUCAAUGAAGUCUGGUGUAUAAACCCGAGGCUCAACCUCGGGACGCAUCGGAAACUGGUUGACUUGAGUGCAGAAGAGGAGAGUGGAAUUCCACGUGUAGCGGUGAAAUGCGUAGAGAUGUGGAGGAACACCAGUGGCGAAGGCGACUCUCUGGUCUGUAACUGACGCUGAGGCGCGAAAGCGUGGGGAGCAAACAGG